CCUUUUCUCCUUUGUAGGCUGGGCGGCUGAGUUCCUCCUCCUGCAGGGCGGAGCUGGAGGUGAAUUCUGCAGCGACCUUCACACCUGGAGCUCAUCAACAAUCCCUCCGAUUUUUAAGGACCAGCUCCAGCCUCCUGUCUCCGCCAGAGUGUUAACGUUGCAGUUGGGGUUUUGCUCGCUCCACGGACUCUCCAGCCGUCAGCCUGCCUGCCUCCCCUCGGAUUCAUUCUGGCACACCACCGUCCACACCACCAUUUCCUCGAGGACUCUAUCACAGUGAAUCCCGAACAUAACUUACCUGCCAGUCGCCGCCCUGGAAUCCACCUGCGAGCCGCCCGUGAAAUACCUGUGUCCACCUCGUUUCACUACCAGUGUUUUCAGCUCACCUCAUUUUUGCUAAGAGGCC